AACGAACGUUGGCGGCGUGGAUUAGGCAUGCAAGUCGAACGAAUGCUAGUUUUGUAGCAAUACAGAGCUAGCGGAAGUGGCGAAAGGGGCAGUAAUGCGUGGGUAACCUACCUCGGGGAUGGGCAUAGCCGUUCUAACGGACGGGUAAUUCCCAGAGAUUCAGCGGGGCGGCAUCGUCCUGCUGGGAAAUGAGUUUCGCCUCGAGAGGGGCCCACGUGCUAUUAGCUAGUUGGUGGGGUAACGGCCUACCAAGGCAAAGAUGGCUAGCGGGUGUGAGAGCACGACCCGCGCCACUGGCACUGAGACACUGGCCAGACACCUACGGGUGGCUGCAGUCGAGGAUCUUCGUCAAUGGGCGCAAGCCUGAACGAGCGACGCCGCGUGCGCGAUGAAGGCCUUCGGGUUGUAAAGCGCGAAAGUGGAGAGAAAGGGAAACUUGAUCAAUCCACAGUAAGGACGGGCUAAGUUCGUGCCAGCCGCCGCAGUAAAAC
rnacentral:rRNA from 1 species